AAGAUGAGGGGAAAAAAUAUAUUUUUUGUUUUAAUAUGGUUUCUGUAGGAGGACAAACAUGACACUAAUUGUUAUAACACACUGUUUAUAUUAAACAUGCUUCACUGAUUCGAGUAUUUGGCGAGCGCCGUUUUGUCCUACUAAUUUUGGCGGUCCUUGAACUCACCUUUGUUUGUUUCCAUGUAUAACUUUCUCCGGCUUUCUAGGACGUGUUUUAUGCCACUUCUUUUUCUGUCUCAUUUUGUCCACCCACCUGUUAACGUUGUGCGUGAAGGCACAAAGGGCGCACCCAAGUGCGCAUUCAUCUGUGCGCUGCGCUGGGCGCACCUCCAAACAAGCUACUGCGCGCACCACUCCGGCUGCAGCAAGCAGCUGCUUUCCAUCAGCACUCAACACACCUGUCGCUGAUGAGCUCCCUCGGCUUCUUAAGCCAGUGCAGACCGGCGUUCCGGGCCACAACUUAGCGACUUGUUCCUGUACACAGCAUUCCUCCGUUCCCGCGUCACCAGAUGUGUGUCUCGUCUCCCCGUAUUCCCUCCGGUUCCCUGGCUGCCUCUUGGAUCUCGACCUCCCGCCUGGACACAGACUUUGGCGCCUUGCCCCUGCCCUUGACCUCAUGCCUGCCCACAGACCUCCGAGCCUGCCUUGCCCCUCUUGGUCUUCCGCACCUCGCUCAACACUUCCGGUAACACUCUACAGAUGCUCGCUACACAAAAGUCACAAACAUACACAUUUUGGAUUAGUUUCA